UACAGAGGGGGCAAGCGUUGUUCGGAAUUACUGGGCGUAAAGGCGCGUAGGCGGCCUGUUAAGUCAGACGUGAAAUCCCUCGGCUUAACCGGGGAACUGCGUCUGAUACUGGAUGGCUUGAGUUUGGGAGAGGGAUGCGGAAUUCCAGGUGUAGCGGUGAAAUGCGUAGAUAUCUGGAGGAACACCGGUGGCGAAGGCGGCAUCCUGGACCAACACUGACGCUGAGUGAGCGAAAGCCAGGGGAGCAAACGGG
rnacentral:rRNA from 1 species